GUUUUUUAUUAAUUUUUUGUUUAAUAAUUACGACUGUUAUUCAGAUUAGUAAUUGUGAAAGAAACUAUCACCAUCGUCGAAAUUCUCAUAGACAUGCAGUAAAUAAUGAAAAUUAUACAAGAAAACGUCGUACAAAUGACGAAAAUAUUGAACAAAUCAAUGAUAAUUCAAUUGAUGAUGAAACAAAUCAUCAUACUGACAUUACGAAUGAGGUAGACGAUAUUGAUGAUACGUCAUAUAGCAGUGGCGAAGAUCGAUAUUAUCGUGGUACUCGAACAAAGUCACGUUUAAAUCGUAUACAUCGAUAUGAUGAUCAUAGUGGCUCGUUUGAGUCGUACGAGUUGCCUUUACCGCCAAGAAAACCAAGAUUUGAAUAUGCAGCAGAAAAUCGUCCACUAUUUAAUUUACUUCUUGGCAUUUUGGACACAUUUAAAACGAACACCAAACAAGAGAUACGUCGGGCUGAAGAACGAAAACGGAAACAACAAUCUCAGUUGAUUAUUGAAAAUAUUGGAGAUCAUGUCAAAAAUUUAACAGCAUUAUUAUUGACUCCAGUUAAUUAGUAAAUAACAGGUACAAGUACACUCUACUGACAUAUAGGACAUGUUCAGUGGUGUAGCUAGGUGAAGAAGGGCCCCGGUGCAUACAGGAAAAGCUCCCACUGACUGGAUUCGAACCCACAAUCUCCCAGUCAGUAGUCAAACGGUUUCCAUAAGACCAAUGUUAAAUAUGCCUACUUUUGAAGUAAUUUAUUUGUUUCAAUAAUCGGUCCCUAAAAUUUUCAGAAUUGAUUUAGACUUAGCCCAACUUCAUAUAAAAAAAAUCAAUCCUUUUAGCCAAAAUUACCCUGGCGCUCGUAUAUCCUCAAAAAUUCAGACAUUUUAUCUGAGAACCAUAUCCCAUAAGCAUUGUGCGUCCUUCUUUGGGGUCACACUUUUCAAAUUUUUGU